rnacentral:lncRNA from 1 species
AUGGAAGAAGUGGUUGAGGCCAGAACACCAGUUCGUGCAGGCAAUACAGCUGCUACAAACAGGGCAGGAGGCAGAGCACGUGUGCUGUUGGGGCUGCGGGCAGCACAGUCACAUCGAGGACUCAGGCAGUGCUGGGAGAAGAGCUCUUCAUUUACUCUGGGGCUGACUCCUAGAUGCUCAGAGACACGAGUGUUCCUGCUUACUGAGUGUCUUCAAGAACGAACUGGAAUUAAAGCACUAAGCAACGCAUUAUUGGUGACAAGCUGCUGGGUAUCUAAUCUCAGACAGAGCCACAGUGAAAAAUGCUGUGGAUGA